CCUACGGGCGGCAGCAGUGAGGAAUAUUGGUCAAUGGACGAGAGUCUGAACCAGCCAAGUAGCGUGAAGGAUGACUGCCCUAUGGGUUGUAAACUUCUUUUAUAUGGGAAUAAAAUGUUCCACGUGUGGGAUUUUGUAUGUACCAUAUGAAUAAGAAUCGGCUAACUCCGUGCCAGCAGCCGCGGUAAUACGGAGGAUCCGAUCGUUAUCCGGAUUUAUUGGGUUUAAAGGGAGCGUAGGUGGAUUGUUAAGUCAGUUGUGAAAGUUUGCGGCUCAACCGUAAAAUUGCAGUUGAAACUGGCAGUCUUGAGUACAGUAGAGGUGGGCGGAAUUCGUGGUGUAGCGGUGAAAUGCUUAGAUAUCACGAAGAACUCCGAUUGCGAAGGCAGUUCACUGGACUGCAACUGACACUGAGGCUCGAAAGUGUGGGUAUCAAACAGGAUUAGAUACCCGUGUAGUC
rnacentral:rRNA from 1 species